CACCGCCACGGUAUCCCCUCUGUAUGCCUCGCAUCUGCCUCCCUCUCGUUCCUUCUCUAAAUCAUGAAAAAUCCCCAAAAAUCCCUAGCUUCCUCCCCCAACAAUUUCCGGCGAUAUUACCGCCUGAACCACCCAUUUCUUCUUCAGUCGACAGCAGCGGUCAGCCGGACCGUCGUCGUCCUCGCCUCCCUCAUCUCUCAAGCCCCUAUAAAGAUUCGAUUUUUCCUCUUUCCCUUCCAUUUGAAAUCCCUCCAAUCCCAGCGGCGCCUGUCCUAGAACCCUAGCCUCCCUGACCCCGGCAACCGCCUCCUUCCACCCCGGCGUCCAACCGCCCUUCACCCCGGCGCAGCGCAGCCACAGCUUCUCCAUCACUUGACGGGUUUUUCUAAAGCCAAAAUCAAACACUCACAUUAGUUUGUUUGAUUUUUUGUUUCUCUGCUCGGAGGUGUUCUCUGUGCAAAAUCAGAUCAGAAAUUCAAUUGCUCAGAGGUGAUUCUAGCAACUCUGCUCGGAGGUGUUGAUCUCAGUAUUGUAGGUGCUCUUUUCUGGAAACUAUUUUGCUUCUAAUAGAAAUUUACUUUAAGAUAAAUUCCAUAAAUAUUUCCAAGUCUAUUGCAUAUUUGUCUCCUAUGAAUCGCUCUUAGGAAAAUAACGUAAUCGUUCUUCUCUUUCACUCAUCUUUAUUGUGACUGUGAGUCAUUUUCUUCGUGGUUUAUUGCAGUAUAUCAAGUUACCAGAUAAUUGUGUUAAUUGAUAAGAUAUAUCUGCUGUGAUAUGCAAUAUGUGUAAAUGAAAACAGGCACGCGAGAAAGAUAAGCAAUAACCUGAUAAUUGUGUUAAUUGAUGAGUCUUAAUAUAAACAGAAGAGUUGUUAUCCAUGUACAGAAUCUAUUUGCUUAUAUAUGCAACAGAUUUGAAUUUCAAGUGUUUAAUUUUGGCCCAGCUGACACCGGUUGUCUUGUUUUCAUAAUGCAAAUUGCUCAUUAGCUUAUCCUAUCUGCACUAUAAUAUCUUUUCCUAGACUAAGAUGAUUGUUCUUCCUUAAUUUCUUGUUAGAGGAGUUUGAAGUUGUUAUCUGACAGCCAAGUUCUGGUAUGUGUCACGUGACAAAUUGGUAUAAGAAGUUUUAUAUUGAUAGGAAACAUUAGUUCUAUAUUUCUCUACAGAAAAGGACAAGCAUUAAUUAGAUUUUAAAUAAUUUAUGUGCAUUAAUCUAUUGCUCAAUUAGCCUUGAUUACAUAUUUUCAUUAACUUGUAGGAAGAUGGCUGGUGGGAUUAGUUUCAUGACAUGUUAUGCACGAACUGAAGUCAUGCAGAACAAGUAGGUGAUAAUUUAGUGCAGAUGACCAUAACUAACAGGUGUUCAUGUAUUUUACAAUGGCUUCUGUAAACUCUUCUCUGUUUUAUUUUUCAGCCGCAGGACUUAUGGGCUUCUCUUUGAUUGGAUUUAUCCCAAUCUGCCUCACCUUCUCCCAGUCCGCCGCGCCCUUCUCCAUGGUCUGCCGUGCCUCCGUCCAGUCCCCUCAGUCCGCCGCGUCCAGUCACCUUAUU
rnacentral:lncRNA from 1 species